GAGUAAUCAAAGUCGUGAACCAUGGAACACGGCGGCAUGCUAAAUUGUAACGGGUCGAUUUUCAUACGAGCAGCAAAAGUUCAGUUUUAGUGCCAAAAGUGAUACAGACAGAGCAAUACUGGUUCCAAGUUCUUAUUAUUAUUAUUAUUAUUAUUUUCUUUCUUUUUGGAAAGAAGAAAAGGAAAGAAAAACUUGAAGACCGGAUUAAAGCGAAAAUCAAACAACAACGAUAGUAAGCGAAAAUCAAACAACAACGAUAGUAGUCAGAAAACCUAUUUAAGUUUUCAGCUGUGCCAUAACAUCCAUCCUCACCCUGCAAAGAACACAGAACUACCAUGAUACCAAGAUGAACUAUGCAAAC
rnacentral:lncRNA from 1 species